rnacentral:tRNA from 1 species
GUUAAUGUAGCUUAAUAAUAAAGCAAAGCACUGAAAAUGCUUAGAUGGAUUAUUAUUGGUCCCAUGAACA